rnacentral:tRNA from 1 species
AUUUAGGUAGUUUAAUUAGAAUAAUAAUUUGUGGAGUUAUUGGUGAUGUAUUCUCUAAAUU